GACGAACGCUGGCGGCGUGCUUAACACAUGCAAGUCGAACGGAAAGGCCCUGCUUUUGUGGGGUGCUCGAGUGGCGAACGGGUGAGUAACACGUGAGUAACCUGCCCUUGACUUUGGGAUAACUUCAGGAAACUGGGGCUAAUACCGGAUAGGAGCUCCUGCUGCAUGGUGGGGGUUGGAAAGUUUCGGCGGUUGGGGAUGGACUCGCGGCUUAUCAGCUUGUUGGUGGGGUAGUGGCUUACCAAGGCUUUGGCGGGUAGCCGGCCUGAGAGGGUGACCGGCCACAUUGGGACUGAGAUACGGCCCAGACUCCUACGGGAGGCAGCAGUGGGGAAUAUUGCACAAUGGGCGGAAGCCUGAUGCAGCAACGCCGCGUGCGGGAUGACGGCCUUCGGGUUGUAAACCGCUUUCGCCUGUGACGAAGCGUGAGUGACGGUAAUGGGUAAAGAAGCACCGGCUAACUACGUGC
rnacentral:rRNA from 1 species